AGUCGAGCGGGCCUUUCGGGGUCAGCGGCGGACGGGUGAGUAACGCGUGGGAACGUGCCCUCUGGUUCGGAAUAACUCAGGGAAACUUGAGCUAAUACCGGAUACGCCCUUUUGGGGAAAGGCUUGCUGCCGGAGGAUCGGCCCGCGUCUGAUUAGCUAGUUGGUGAGGUAACGGCUCACCAAGGCGACGAUCAGUAGCUGGUCUGAGAGGAUGAUCAGCCACACUGGGACUGAGACACGGCCCAGACUCCUACGGGAGGCAGCAGUGGGGAAUAUUGGACAAUGGGCGCAAGCCUGAUCCAGCCAUGCCGCGUGAGUGAUGAAGGCCUUAGGGUUGUAAAGCUCUUUUAUCCGGGACGAUAAUGACGGUACCGGAGGAAUAAGCCCCGGCUAACUUCGUGCCAGCAGCCGCGGUAAUACGAAGGGGGCUAGCGUUGCUCGGAAUCACUGGGCGUAAAGGGCGCGUAGGCGGCGUUUUAAGUCGGGGGUGAAAGCCUGUGGCUCAACCACAGAAUGGCCUUCGAUACUGGGACGCUUGAGUAUGGUAGAGGUUGGUGGAACUGCGAGUGUAGAGGUGAAAUUCGUAGAUAUUCGCAAGAACACCGGUGGCGAAGGCGGCCAACUGGA
rnacentral:rRNA from 1 species